rnacentral:rRNA from 1 species
CAGUAGCGUAUAUUAAAGUUGUUGCAGUUAAAAAGCUCGUAGUUGGAUUUCUGACAUGACUUCUCUGACCCGCUUUCUUUUGAAGGUGUGAGCUCGGCUGGAGUCUGUCAUCCUUCCGGAGAAUCAUCUACCCUUUAUUGGUGUGGGUGUUGGACCCGGAACUUUUACUUUGAAGAAAUUAGAGUGUUCAAAGCAGGCUUGCGCAUUUGAAUAUUACAGCAUGGAAUAAUAAUCUAGGACUUCUGUUCUAUUUUGUUGGUUUCUAGGACUGAAGUAAUGAUUGAUAGGGAUAGUUGGGGGUGCUAGUAUUAGGGGGCCAGAGGUGAAAUUCUUAUAUUCCCUUAAGACUAACUUAUGCGAAAGCAUUCACCAAGGAUGUCUUCUUUAAUCAAGAACGAAAGUUGGGGGAUCGAAGACGAUUAGAUACCAU